rnacentral:rRNA from 2 species
GGUUAAGCGACUAAGCGUACACGGUGGAUGCCCUGGCAGUCAGAGGCGAUGAAGGGCGUGCUAAUCUGCGAUAAGCGCCGGUAAGGUGAUAUGAACCGUUAUAACCGGCGAUACCCGAAUGGGGAAACCCAGUGUGAUUCGUCACACUAUCAUUAACUGAAUCCAUAGGUUAAUGAGGCGAACCGGGGGAA